rnacentral:rRNA from 1 species
GAUGAACGCUGGCGGCGUGCCUAAUACAUGCAAGUCGAACGAACACAACAGGAGCUUGCUCCGUUGACUCUAGCGGCGAACGGGUGAGUAACACGUGGAUAACCUGCCUAUCAGACUGGGAUAACUUCCGGAAACCGAAGCUAAUACCGGUUAACAUCUUGAACCGCAUGACUCAAUAAUGAAAAGAGGCUUCUGCUGUCUGUUAAAGAAGGAUCCCCCCGCGACUAGCUAGUUGGUAGAGGAACGGCUUACCAAGGCCACGAUACCUAGCCGACCUGAGAGGGUGAUCGGCCACACUGGAACUGAGACACGGUCCAGACUCCUACGGGAGGCAGCAGUAGGGAAUCUUCCGCAAUGGACGAAAGCCUGACGGAGCAACGCCGCGUGAGUGAAGAAGGACUUCGGAUCGUAAAACUCUGUUGUCAGAGAAGAACAACUGUGAAAGUAACUGUGCUCCUCGUGACGGUACCUGAUCAGAAAGCCACGGCUAACUACGUGCCAGCAGCCGCGGUAAUACGUAGGUGGCAAGCGUUAUCCGGAUUUAUUGGGCGUAAAGCGAGCGCAGGCGGUUUUUUAAGUCUGAUGUGAAAGCCCCGGCUCAACCGGGGAGGGUCAUUGGAAACUGGAUGACUUGAGUGCAGAAGAGGAGAGUGGAAUUCCAUGUGUAGCGGUGAAAUGCGCAGAUAUAUGGAGGAACACCAGUGGCGAAGGCGACUCUCUGGUCUGUAACUGACGCUGAUGUGCGAAAGCGUGGGGAUCAAACAGGAUUAGAUACCCUGGUAGUCCACGCCGUAAACGAUGAGUGCUAAGUGUUGGGGGGUUUCCGCCCCUUAGUGCUGCAGCUAACGCAUUAAGCACUCCGCCUGGGGAGUACGACCGCAAGGUCGAAACUCAAAGGAAUUGACGGGGACCCGCACAAGCGGUGGAGCAUGUGGUUUAAUUCGAAGCAACGCGAAGAACCUUACCAAAUCUUGACAUCCUUUGACCGCUCUAGAGAUAGAGUUUUCCCCUUCGGGACACAAAGUGACAGGUGGGGCAUGGUUGUCGUCAGCUCGUGUCGUGAGAUGUUGGGUUAAGUCCCGCAACGAGCGCAACCCUGAGUAUUAGUUGCCAUCAUUAAGUUGGGCACUCUAAGGAGACUGCCGGUGACAAACCGGAGGAAGGUGGGGAUGACGUCAAAUCAUCAUGCCCCUUAUGAUUUGGGCUACACACGUGCUACAAUGGACAAUACAAAGGGCAGCUAACCCGCGAGGUCAAGCGAAUCCCAUAAAGCCGUUCUCAGUUCGGAUUGUAGUCUGCAACUCGCCUACAUGAAGCCGGAAUCGCUAGUAAUCGUGGAUCAGCACGCUGCGGUGAAUACGUUCCCGGGUCU